UAAAUUGAGAGUUUGAUCCUGGCUCAGGACGAACGCUGGCGGCGUGCCUAACACAUGCAAGUCGAGCGAUGAAACUUCCUUCGGGGAGUGGAUUAGCGGCGGACGGGUGAGUAACACGUGGGUAACCUGCCUCAAAGAGGGGGAUAGCCUCCCGAAAGGGAGAUUAAUACCGCAUAACAUUAUUUUAUGGCAUCAUAGAAUAAUCAAAGGAGCAAUCCGCUUUGAGAUGGACCCGCGGCGCAUUAGCUAGUUGGUGAGGUAAGGGCUCACCAAGGCGACGAUGCGUAGCCGACCUGAGAGGGUGAUCGGCCACAUUGGAACUGAGACACGGUCCAGACUCCUACGGGAGGCAGCAGUGGGGAAUAUUGCGCAAUGGGGGAAACCCUGACGCAGCAACGCCGCGUGAGUGAUGAAGGUUUUCGGAUCGUAAAACUCUGUCUUUAGGGACGAUAAUGACGGUACCUAAGGAGGAAGCCACGGCUAACUACGUGCCAGCAGCCGCGGUAAUACGUAGGUGGCAAGCGUUGUCCGGAUUUACUGGGCGUAAAGAGUAUGUAGGUGGGUGCUUAAGUCAGAUGUGAAAUUCCCGGGCUUAACCUGGGCGCUGCAUUUGAAACUGGGCAUCUAGAGUGCAGGAGAGGAAAGUGGAAUUCCUAGUGUAGCGGUGAAAUGCGUAGAGAUUAGGAAGAACACCAGUGGC
rnacentral:rRNA from 1 species